AGCUUUAUCAUUUCUAAAGCUUCUGCACAUGUUGUUGUUUGAGAAAUGUUUAGCCAAAUGGUAGAGAUGAGGAUGGUGGUGUAUUGUAGAAUUAGUUUACAAUGUGUGGUGACAUAAAAGCUAUCUCUUGAAGUUACUUUAGAAAGAAAACAUAACUCUUGGAGCGAUCCUGUUGUUUAGUAUAGGUUUUCUUCUAUAUAUAUAUAUGAUCCGUGGAACAAGGUCUUAGUCUAGGCAUGUUGUUUGAACACGUUCAUAUACUCUCAGAGAUCAUGUUGUUGAAGUAAGUUAAGAAGAAAACAUAGUUCGUGGAGCAAUGCUGUUGUUGAGUGUAGGCUUUCUUCUAUAUAUACAUGAUCUGUGGAACAAGUUCACAGUCUAAACAAGUUCACUUGUUUGCGAUUCUGUAAUUAUAUUUAUUCUAAUAUCUGAAUUUGAGUUUUUUAUUCCUAAGGAUUGUAUAUAUUUUCAGAGAAGAUGUCAAUCCUCUAAUCACGUUUUGUUCAAAA